rnacentral:rRNA from 1 species
UACGUAGGGUGCAAGCGUUAAUCGGAAUUACUGGGCGUAAAGCGUGCGCAGGCGGUUAUAUAAGACAGUUGUGAAAUCCCCGGGCUCAACCUGGGAACUGCACCUGUGACUGUAUAGCUAGAGUACGGUAGAGGGGGAUGGAAUUCCGCGUGUAGCAGUGAAAUGCGUAGAUAUGCGGAGGAACACCGAUGGCGAAGGCAAUCCCCUGGACCUGUACUGACGCUCAUGCACGAAAGCG